CUUUCAUGUACACCAAUCAGACGUAGAUUUGGUCUUUUCACAUAGUCCCAUAUUUCUUGGAGGCUUUGCUCGUUUCUUUUUAUUCUUUUUUCUCUAAACUUUCCUUCUCGCUUCAUUUCAUUCAUUUCAUCUUCCAUUGCUGAUACCCUUUCUUCCAGUUGAUCACAAACUCCCUGACCCCUUGCGCUUCCUGAGUGAGGCAAUGCCUCGCCCUGCUUCAGCUCGCGCACGGUGCGUGCACCCACUGACCUGCGCCCACUGUCUGGCACUCCCUAGUGAGAUGAACCUGGUACCUCAGAUG
rnacentral:lncRNA from 1 species